UUCUGAUUCUGAUGCAUGGGUGAUUUCUCCUUGACUAGCAGCUCAGUUCUCUAUUAUUUCCUUUAAUUUAACAUAUUGCGUUUUUUUUUUUUUUUUUUUUUUGGAGGCCAAAUGACUUUCUGUAAUAUGCCUUUAAGGAAAUGAGCUUGACAUGCUGGUGACUGCUUUUAGAGGAAAAGCAGAACAAAUGGAGCCCGCGUGCAUAUUCAUUUGACCGUCAGUGUGUUCAUGUGUGCAGACCUGCUCGCGCUGCCCGCUCGAGUUUAUCUCGGUGUUUGUGUGUCGAAAAGGGAAAAGGCGAUGGAGCGGAGCUGACAGGUGCACCGUCUUCCUCCAUAUCUGGCUCAAAGGAUAAGCUCGCAAACACGCACGCUAAAGUAACACCGUUUCUAAGACACUGUGAGCGGUGGACCUGCGUUGAAUCGGCAGCUGAUCCUCGAAAGGCAAGUCUCUCCUCACCUUGUCUUUUGCAAAUGUGAAUAAGUCAAAGUGAAUAAAAGUUGACACGGACGAUGAGCGCCAUUAACCAGGCUCUUAUUUGUCUGGCAGCCGGAUCCUCGUUUGAUCUUACACAAGGUACUCGGUGUUCUGUUGUCUGAGUGCGAAUGCAUCUGAGACAGUGUGUGGUUAAUUAAGACUGACGCUUCUUCACAGUGUCUGGUUGAGUCUUUCUUGACUGCGACUUUCUCUGUAUUCAUCCAAAUAAGAGCCUUAAUAUCGAGAUGUGCUGCACCGGCAUGGCCACUUAUGGAGAGGCGCAGAAAUCAAGCGCUGCACAUUAUACAAGUGUACAAAGGAGGACAAUUUAAUAUUCUUGAUAGGUGCAAAAGCUCACGCGCAGCGUUUCUGAUUAUCCGCUAGCUAAUUUGACAGAUGGAUGCACCAAGACGUUCUAAGUGUGUGUUUGUUUAUUGUCUCCUUUCUGAGAAAAAGAAAAAAGAAAAAGUCUUCAGACUGACCUGCCAGGGAUGGUUUUGGUCAAGCAGGCGGGAAACUCUGGGAUGUCCAGCACAGCCCAUCGGGCCUCGCAGGAGAAGCGCAGGCUAAUGCUAACAUCCGAGGUGUUCAAAGGCAUCCGCUUCUCCAAGACUGAAAACAACAAAGUCAAGUGUCUACUGUGCUCCCGCUGAUGACUCGGAGCGAGGCCCUUUCUUAUCCACUGCCACUAUCCCACACACGAGCUGAAAUCCGCGGCGGACGCCAACCCCGUCGCAGGCCGACUUCACGCGGAAGCGGCCGGGAGCAGAGGAGGUGCAGACUGGAGAAGAGACCCACGAAGAUGAAUCAGGCCUUCUUGAAAUCUUUAAUGUGACUUGGGCUCAUGAUGGACUUCACCGGAGGACAGUCUGUUAUGCCAUUGCGCCGUCUGGCUGUGUCACGUGAGUGCAGAUCAUGCACCAGUGACAAAGUUCAACAUCGGCAGUCUCCGUUAAAGCCCCCUUUGGGAAAGUCUUUUCCAGGACUCCAUCUCUUUGUUCCCAUUCGGAAAAACAGUUUGUUUGUCCCGGGUCAAUUGAAACCUUGAGCAGCUCUUUGCUCUCACCAGGAGGUGGAAAGGUACAUGGGGGUCCAUUGCAUUUUCGACAUUUUGUCUAUUCUGGACCUGAAGCGUAUCCGGUGGGUCAAUUUGUUCAGUCCAAGGUUUUUUAACCAGUAAGCGCUAUUAUAUUUUUCCACUCAAUGUUGACAACCUGGAAUUAAAUGCUAGUUGGUGUGAGUAACAAACCAUUUUGGGUUCACAAACAAAUCUGAGAAUGAGAAACAUUUCUUCAGUGGAAAUCCCGGAGACUUUUUAGCUUUCUACUGCAAUGAAAUACGGGACUGAUAAACCGUAAUUGGCAAGAUGUUGCAAAUCUAAAAACUGUACUUUACUCCUGCUCCUACGUCUGAAGCAAUGAACUCGAUUAGUGGCCGCUAACUUGCCCGUUCACUCUCAGAGAUUGUGCCACACUGUGGAUGGACAUGUGCCCUGACUGUAGAUAAGCUGACGGUUUACACCGUGGAACAUUUGUGGGUUUUGUAUUAAUUUAGCUCAUCCUGAGUUUGUGGUAAUUGGAUGUGCCUGACCUUAAAAAUACUCUGGGAAAGGCUGGGACCAGUUGUCAUUAACAGGAUGCAGUCCAAUGACCUCGAUGCAAGGACCUGCAGAGAUAAAAGGAGUUCUGUCAAUGGCGAUACGGCAUGACUCCUUCUUGUGACGGUCUCCCAGUCAGCCCUUAGAUCAUUCAGAAACUCCAAAAUUGCUUUGUUUUGUCACGAUGAAUUUUGUUGGCAUUUGAAAAAUGUUUACAAGAACCAUCAAAAUCUCAUUUUGCCUGCGCUACACCGACCUCGCUUUGCAUGCUGGUUUGCACGAUUUAAGGCGCAAAUUCAGCCACCGCAAUUUGUCCAUGGUUUGACAAAAGGGUAUUACACACGCUAUCUUCAUCUAUUUUCCAUAUACUCCUCCUACCGUGAACUGCGCAGCUAUUUAGCAUUUGGCAAACACCACCCUGAUGGCGCCCCAUUAGUAAAACAACUUCUGUUUGCCUGUGAAAUGAAGUUGGCGGACAUUUUUGGCUACGCAAACCUUUAGUAAAUCAGGCCUCAUGUUUGCCUUUUUUGACGAGUUGAACUCCACCAGAGAUGUCCUUUAUCCUGUGGUUAAUAUUUACAUUUAUGGACAUUUUUGAUUAGGGCCAGUUCAGUAAGGCCUUGCAGGUAAAUCAAUCGAAUGAGGGUUUGGUGGUGUAUUUCCUGCGGAACUUUGGAGAAGGCUUCAUCGUGGCCUCCGUGUACACGGUAACACUUUGCCACAAAGGGAGGAGUGUUAAGUCUCCCGGUGUUCAAUGACAGAUACCUCCCCGGUUGCGCUCUUAGACAUGCAGCCCAUGUUCCGGGCAUGUCCGACCCGGAAGGAAGCCUCGGGCCAGACACACACUGGAGGGACGUUUUCACAGCCUUGUGUGGGAACGCCUCAGUGUCACUCUGGUGGAAUUCAAAGUGGAGCCUGGGCGCAGGAACGUCUGGAUAGUCAAAGACUACUUCCCCCUGCGACGUGUCGGACGAUGCCAAUGGACGGAUAGCUGCGCGGUUUUUGUGUGCCUGUUGUGAAUCUUUCGAAUUAACUGGGAAGGCUCCUCUCCUGUCCAAUCAGAGCACAGUGAACGAAGGUUACCAGUCAAGGGGAAGAAAACUGCCACACCGCAGAAACAUGAUAUCUAGAGGAUGUAAAUCCUAUAUUAAUCAAAUAUUAAUUUAACUAAAUCUACUAUUAUUACUUUAAACAGAUGGAUAAUUACUAUAUUUUAUUUUAAGGACUUUGACAGUCUCAGCAAAAAAAAAAGUCUUAACAAUAUUAGCCUUUUUUCUUAUAUAUAUUCAUGAACUGGCCAUGAUGAUAAUCCCAGAUUACAUAUUUUAACUAUUGUGAAGUUUGUGGGGGAAAUAUCCUGUAUACAUGGUAGAUAUUGGAAAUAAUCAAUUGUGUUGCAUUGCGUGUUACGGCAAUAUCGGGCCAGCUCACGUCACUGUCGGAACUUUGCUUUUGUACGACUUUGUAGCACCGCUGAGUUUGCAGGUCAGGCAUGCCAUCGUUUGUGUUAAAUUCUCCUUGGACUUUACAAAACCCAGGUCAUGAAAGAAACAUUUUUGCUUAAUGAUUGUUGUGACCUUUAUUUCAAUACUUGUGCAAAUGCAAUCAUUUAGAAAGCAUCAGAAAUGCUAUGUUAAAUAGUGCCUAAUUUUUUUUUUGCAUACACUAGCUAUUUCACCUCUACAUUUAGAUUUAGUGAUUUUUGUUUCUCACGAUGAACAUUCACGAUUAAUGCUUCUCCGAUGUGUGAAAUUGAAAUGAUGUGUGUGUGUGUGUGUGUGUGUGUGUGUGUGUGUGUGUGUGUGUGUGUGUGUGUGUGUGUGUGUGUGUGUGUGUGGUUAUGUCACUGGAGAGAUAAAGUGGUUCUACGUGUCCAAAAUAGCCUUCCUAGCCUGUGAAAAGUACCAUAUAGCUUUUUUUUUUUUUUUUAUCUCGGUGAAAAAUGC